CCUGCCUGCCCAGUGACCUUAGUUAAACGGCCGCGGUAUUCUGACCGUGCAAAGGCAGCGCAAUCACUUGCCUUUUAAAUGAAGACCUGUAUGAAUGGCAAGACGAAGGCUUAACUGUCUCCCCCCUCCAGUCAAUGAAAUUGAUCUCCCCGUGCAGAAGCGGGGAUAAACACAUAAGACGAGAAGACCCUGUGGAGCUUAAGACAACAAGACCAACCUGUCAAAAAUAACAAAACAAAGCUAAACGAACUAAAUGGCCCUGUCCUUGUGUCUUCGGUUGGGGCGACCAUGGGGAACUAAAAAACCCCCACGUGGAACAAGAGCACCUCUACUCUCACAAACCAGAGGGACACCUCUAAUUAACAGAACUUCUGACCUAAAAUGACCCGGCUUAAGCCGAUCAACGAACCAAGUUACCCCAGGGAUAACAGCGCAAUCCCCUUCCAGAGCCCAUAUCGACAAGGGGGUUUACGACCUCGAUGUUGGAUCAGGACAUCCUAGUGGUGCAGCAGCUACUAAGGUUCGUUUCUCAACGA
rnacentral:rRNA from 1 species